rnacentral:rRNA from 1 species
CCUACGGGUGGCAGCAGUGAGGAAUAUUUGUCAAUGGGCGGAAGCCUGAACCAGCCAAGUCGCGUGAGGGAUUAAGGCCCUGCGGGUCGUAAACCUCUUUUGCCGGGGAGCAGUGGUCCGGACGAGUCCGGGCCGGGAGAGUACCCGGAGAAAAAGCAUCGGCUAACUCCGUGCCAGCAGCCGCGGUAAUACGGGGGAUGCGAGCGUUAUCCGGAUUUAUUGGGUUUAAAGGGUGCGUAGGCGGGCAUUUAAGCCGGCGGUCAAAUGUCGGGGCUCAACCCCGGCCUGCCGGCGGAACUGGGUGCCUUGAGUGGGCGAGAAGUAUGCGGAAUGCGUGGUGUAGCGGUGAAAUGCAUAGAUAUCACGCAGAACCCCGAUAGCGAAGGCAGCAUACCGGCGCCCGACUGACGCUGAGGCACGAAAGUGCGGGUAUCGAACAGGAUUAGAUACCCCGGUAGUC